rnacentral:rRNA from 1 species
CCCUUAGAUGUUCUGGGCCGCACGCGCGCUACACUGAUGCAUUCAACGAGUCUAAAACCUGCUCUGAUAGGGGUGGGUAAUCUUUUGAAUGUGCAUCGUGAUUGGGAUAGAUGAUUGCAAUUUUUCAUCUUCAACGAGGAAUGCCUAGUAAACGCAAGUCAUCAGCUUGCAUUGAUUACGUACCUGCCCUUUGUACACACCGCCCGUCGCUCCUACCGAUUGAAUGAUCCGAUGAAUAUCAUGGAUUGAGGAUGCAAGUAGGUUCGCCUAUCUUCAUCUUCGAGAAGUGAAGUAAAUCUUAUCAUUUAGAGGAAGGAGAAGUCGUAACA